rnacentral:rRNA from 1 species
CGAUGCAACGCGAAGAACCUUACCUAGGUUUGACAUAUACCGGAAACAUCUGGAGACAGGUGCCCCGCAAGGUCGGUAUACAGGUGGUGCAUGGCUGUCGUCAGCUCGUGUCGUGAGAUGUUGGGUUAAGUCCCGCAACGAGCGCAACCCUUGUCUUAUGUUGCCAGCGCGUUAUGGCGGGGACUCAUAAGAGACUGCCGGGGUCAACUCGGAGGAAGGUGGGGAUGACGUCAAGUCAUCAUGCCCCUUAUGUCCAGGGCUUCACGCAUGCUACAAUGGCCGGUACAAAGGGCUGCGAAACCGCGAGGUGGAGCGAAUCCCAAAAAGCCGGUCUCAGUUCGGAUUGGGGUCUGCAACUCGACCCCAUGAAGUCGGAGUCGCUAGUAAUCGCAGAUCAGCAACGCUGCGGUGAAUACGUUCCCGGGCCUUGUACACACCGCCCGUCACACCAUGGGAGUUGGUUCUACCUUAAGUCGCUGCGGUAACCGCAAGGAGCUAGGCGACCACGGUAGGGUCAGUGACUGGGGUGAAGUCGUAACAAGGUAGCCGUAGCGGAAGCUGCGGCUGGAU